AGGCAUAAGAAUGGUUUACGCAAUGAUUCCAGAGCUAUUUGAACGGACGGAUGGAGGGAAGCAGUUGGUGCAGAUCUUCCGGCAAUAGAUAAGUCAUAUAUACAGAGGCAUUGUUUCCCCCCGCAGUCGUCCGUACGGGGAUAUCGGCGCCCCAACGCCAUGAGGCUGGGUAUGAAUAUGACACUGAUAAGCCUUCUUUAGCAUCUGAUGGGCGGAUAGGAGGGGCGGAGGUUAGCUGUGGGCAUUGGCUGAAAUGCUCGCUAGCACAGUGGCCAAUUAUUUGAGUGACAGGAAACCGCCUUUUUUGUUCGAGUGUCGAGAGACAAAAGGCAAAAGAAACAUUACACGAGGAACGAGUCUAUGGCCCGCGACCACCCGCUAUCGCGAACCAUAAGCGGGUUUCGUCGUUGCUUUCAAGCACCGAUGCGGUGCGACUAUCCAGGAUUGAUAAAGCCAGGAACCGAAAAAAAAGGAGGCCACCGCUGGAUGGUUGACCCCGCACAACCCAUGUGCUGUGGACCGUGAAUAAUACAUCAGAGC
rnacentral:sRNA from 1 species